rnacentral:rRNA from 1 species
CAGGAAUUAAAUACCCUAUUAUUAAGAGCCUAAAAAUAAUUUAAAAAAGUAAUACAAUGUAAAGUGUAUAAACUUAAAAUAAUAUGGCGGUAAUUAUAAACUUUAGGGGAACUUACCUAAUAAAGGAUAACCAUCCAGGUAAACUACCUUUUCUAAUAACCUGUAUGCCGUCGUCAUCAGAAACCUUUAUAAAAAGAUUUUAAAUCAUUAUAAUUAAAUAUAAUAUGACAGAUCAAGGUGCAGUUUAUGAAAAGGGUAAGGCGAGUUACAAUUAUAAUUAUCAACGGAAGUUAUUAUGUAAAAAUACUGAAGAUGGACUUAAAAGUAAAAUAUAUUAGUUAUAAUAUUUGAAUUAUUUAUAGUUG